GCGCUCGCCGAGGGAGCACAGAUACUAAAAUUGUAAUAAUACAGAAGAUGAUUAGCAUGGCCCCUGUGCAAGGAUGGCACACAAAUUCGUGAAUUCAGAGAAAGAGAU
ensembl:snRNA U6 U6 spliceosomal RNA